rnacentral:rRNA from 1 species
AUGCCGAAGAUCACCAUCGCGUCGGUGCCGCCACCGCGCCGCAAACCGCCCCGCAUGGAGUACCGCGCGCGGUUCGACGAGGCAUGGUACGGUGCACGCGUGGUGGUGCAGGAUGGCUGGUUGCGUGUCAUGUUCGAGAAUUUCACCGAGGACGCAGACGAGUGGUAUGAUCCGGACGCGCCCGAGCUGGCCUCCCCGCACGCCGUGGACGCGCUGCGCGCAAGGUUCCGCGGGGCGUGCCCCACCCUGGACGAUGCCCACUGUGGUGAUCUUCGCCCGGGCGACAACCUCUGCCUUGUCUGUGAUAUACACGGCGGCGAGAUCAAAUACUACGAUGCCGUCCUCGAGGCUGUAGAGAAGGAACCUCAUGGCAUCGUGGACGACGAAGAGCACUGUGCGUGCCGUUUCACGGUGCAAUGGACGGAGGGGCCGCGCCGCAAUUGUCAGGACAAGGUGGGCGCCGAGGUGAUCUACUUCGUGCAGGAGUCACCGAUCCAAGAUCCGGUGUUGAGCGAGUUCCUAGAUGAUGUGACAAAGAGGUUCGGUGAUGAGCAAGGGAAGGCGAUGACGGCAUCUCAGGCAGCCCUGAGCGGCGAGGGGGAAAUUGCGCCGGUGUCCAGCCUCACAAACUCCCCAAGUACCUUGUCUUAUUCUUCUUAA